rnacentral:rRNA from 1 species
GUCGAGCGAACAGAUAAGGAGCUUGCUCCUUUGACGUUAGCGGCGGACGGGUGAGUAACACGUGGGUAACCUACCUAUAAGACUGGGAUAACUUCGGGAAACCGGAGCUAAUACCGGAUAACAUUUGGAACCGCAUGGUUCUAAAGUGAAAGAUGGUUUUGCUAUCACUUAUAGAUGGACCCGCGCCGUAUUAGCUAGUUGGUAAGGUAACGGCUUACCAAGGCGACGAUACGUAGCCGACCUGAGAGGGUGAUCGGCCACACUGGAACUGAGACACGGUCCAGACUCCUACGGGAGGCAGCAGUAGGGAAUCUUCCGCAAUGGGCGAAAGCCUGACGGAGCAACGCCGCGUGAGUGAUGAAGGGUUUCGGCUCGUAAAACUCUGUUAUUAGGGAAGAACAAAUGUGUAAGUAACUNUGCACAUCUUGACGGUACCUAAUCAGAAAGCCACGGCUAACUACGUGCCAGCAGCCGCGGUAAUACGUAGGUGGCAAGCGUUAUCCGGAAUUAUUGGGCGUAAAGCGCGCGUAGGCGGUUUCUUAAGUCUGAUGUGAAAGCCCACGGCUCAACCGUGGAGGGUCAUUGGAAACUGGGAAACUUGAGUGCAGAAGAGGAAAGUGGAAUUCCAUGUGUAGCGGUGAAAUGCGCAGAGAUAUGGAGGAACACCAGUGGCGAAGGCGACUUUCUGGUCUGUAACUGACGCUGAUGUGCGAAGCGUGGGGAUCAAACAGGAUUAGAUACCCUGGUAGUCCACGCCGUAAACGAUGAGUGCUAAGUGUUAGGGGGUUUCCGCCCCUUAGUGCUGCAGCUAACGCAUUAAGCACUCCGCCUGGGGAGUACGACCGC